UUUAUUUUUUUGAUAACAUUGCUGCGCCCAACCCAACAUUUAGAUACAUUAUAACUGAGCACCUUUCCUGCCCUCUCAGGCUAUUAGCAUCUAUAUCCGUUGGAUCGUUACUUAAGAGCGUUUUCAGCCAUCCGACUGUCUCUUAAUCCUGUCCCGAGUUGCUUUGUUCGAUCCUAAUGAGCGCUAACCCUUCUUGGGCUGCUACUCUGGUGGUUUUUUUCAGAUUCUCAGAUUAAAUUGGGCCUACUGGGCCUGUAACAGCUUCCAGACGUGCAAUCCAAAAGAAAACAACACUCUUUUCGUCCCUCGUGUGAGGCUGGCGAGACUCUCUCAUGCACAACCUAACCUCGCCGCCGCCGCCAUGUUCUCCGAUCUCGUAGCCCCUAUCAUCGUCGACUGAUCGGACACCACUGCAAAUUCCCAACUCUCCCGCGACCUCAAUUGCGCCUUCUUCGACCUCGACUCUCUCCAUCCCUCCCCGCACUUUGUCUCGCCGCCCUCGGCCUCACCAUCAUCUGAUGUAGGUGAGUGACACCCACGCCCAUCUCCCCUUCCCCUGCCUCUAAACGCCACCGAGCAGAAACUCCUCUCUUCCCCUGUCCCGUGGCAUCUUCUGUUACCCUCCCUGCACAACAUCUAAUCAUGAAUUUCCUCUUUCACGUCAUUUGGAGCUGUAGAUAAAUUUAGGUUUGCAAACCACUUCGGGACUGAGGUAAUUCAUUGGCAGAUCAUUUUUUCAUGCUCGUGUAGUUGUGUUGCAUUUUAUAUUAUUGUCCCUGCUGGCAGUGUCCUUCUUUGUUUGUAUUUCUAUUUUCUAAGCUCACUAGAAACACUAUUGGGAUGAUAUAGUUGUAGGCUUUCUCGCUUAAGAAAUAAGUGAAGUCUGUUUUCUAAGCUCACAAGAAACACUAUUGGGAUGAUAUAGUUGUAAAAUUUCUUUCUUAAGAAAUAUAAGUGAAGGACCACAUGCUUGAUAGUCAGAUCACAAUUUGAUGCGAGAGAGUCAGAUGCGGGCGCGGAUGGUCCUCUCAAAGAAUGGGGAGGACUCAUUGCAGCAUCACAAGGACACAAGCAACGGUCCUACUGCUGAUGGUAGAGAGGAGAUCAACGGCAAGGGAGGUCAGGUCAAAGAGAGUUUACAACUAGGUACAAAGUUUCAUGAGGACUCAUCUUCUUGGGAUGGAAGACGAUCAGUUACUGUUAAGUUGUAAAAUUUCUAUAUUUUGGUGAUGGUACCGACUGGGUGUUCUUUCAGAUUUACUUCUAUCACGCGUAGUAAAACUUACAUUCAGCUUAUGUGGAUGAUGCAUGGGUACUGCAGUAAAUACAUUACCUAUAAACUGAACUAUUGAUUUAGUAAUUUUACUUUUGGUCCAACGAUCGAUCAAUUGGUGAGGCUAUACUAAACCACAAAUUUCUUCCUGGGGCAGUAUUAUAGAUCUACCUCUUAUUAGACAUUUAGAAAACCAUAGGUUAUUCAGAAGCUUUCUUACAAAAAGGGUGCUCUUUAGAAACUACUACAUGUAUACGCUCACAUCACAUGCAUGUUUUCUUAAUUUUCAAGUGCUUGUGAAUAUCUGUGAAAGUACAGUUUUCUGUAGCUUUGUAGGCGUUGAACUAAAUACCAAUCCAAGUAGGAGUGGAAGAAAGAUAAUAUAGGUUUUCAUCUGCCAAAAGGUCAAGCAAUUCUUAUUUAUUCUCAUUUCAAUUAAGAUUUAUCUCUAAAACAUUGCAUGAACUCCUGUGCAUAUUGGAUACUUUAUUUAUGCACCUUCUUGCAUUUUAAUCCCAUGUAUGUUGUAUACUCUAUUUAAUAAGUUAUUUGUCUUUUGCCGACAAAUGAUUUUACCAGAUACACUGCACACAUCUCUGCAGGGACAUUUGCAACUUGCAAGACAUAGGAAAAGACGCGAGUCAAUCCAAGAUGACAUGAGCAACCAAAGAUGAAUCAUUUGUAUAAACCUUUGGUGUUUCUGAUACAAGAAUAAUCAUGCGUGGUUUCUUUUGAAGGUGUGUAGUUUUCUUGUAGUGUGGAAAUUAUUAUGAUGUUCAUUCAUCAGAGAUGCAUACGUGUGUUAUUUUCUUCGUACAAA